AUCACCUUCAAACGUAACCUCAACUUAAUACUCUCCAUUUUCGCUCUCACUUCAUUAUAAAAUGGAGUACGAGACUCAAAACUCGUAUUUACUAUUAUUGGAAAUGGAAACCCUUCCUACAACUUCUGGACUCGUAUUUACUUCUAAAAAUAACUGCCUUCUUAAUCCCUAAGUUAUUGGCAUUAGCAUUUUACUUCUAUUAUGUAAUUUUACUCAUUUAUAUCAGGUUUCUGAGCAUUGGUGAGUGUAGCCAUGUCAGGUGCUAAGGUUGGAGAUUUGAUUGAUUUUAAGUGGGGAAAUCAGACGGGACAUGGUCAGAAAAAUAAAGAUUUUAGGUUCUAUGAAUCCUUUGUUUAUGAAGGAGUUGAAUAUUUUCUCUAUGACUGUGCCUACUUUUACCUUGAUCAGCAUUUUGAAACUUCUGUUGGUAAGCUUGUGAAGAUGUAUGAGAGACCAACACAUGAGAAAGUGCUCAAAGUUGUCUGGUUUUUUCGUCCCUCCGAGGUUCGCAACUUCUUGGGGGAUUAUCAGCCUCGUUGGAAUGAGUUGUUCUUGGCAUCUGGUGCAGGCAAAGGUCUUUCCAAUGUCACUCCUCUGGAAUCAAUUAUUAGAAAAUGCAAUGUGGUUUGCACAUCAAGGGACAAGAGAAAUACUGAACCAUCUGAAAUAGAGUUGAAGACAGCUGAUUUCUUUUUCAAUUGUGCUUUUGAUGUUGGAAGGCGUGCAAUACUUGAUAACUUUCCAGAUGUUAUAGAUGGGAUUGAAGUUAGAAGUUUCUUUAACGGGAAACGGGAGAGUAAUCCGAGUAAACCUCUCCAGGCUAGGACAAAGACACGACCUAAAACUUUGAUCAACACUAGGAGUGAUCCUUCUGGGAUGUUGUGCAAGCAAGUUGAACAUAAUGCUGAAGUGAGAACGUCUGAGAAUGUUGUGCCAAAGAGUUCACCAGAUGCUUUUCCAUACAAAAAGAGGAAGGUUGAAGAUGAAAAUCCAACCCUUAGUCCAAGUCGCGAAUUCCCAAUGGAGAAGGAGUUAGAUGAAAAGGGGGAAAAACUCAGGCAGGAUAAAGGAGUCAAUAGAUGCAGGAAGAUUACUGAGGUGACUAAAGGACCCAAUGCAGAUGAUGAGAGAUCAUUGCAUUCUUUUCCAUAUAAGAAGAGGAAGCUUGGAGAUGAGAAGUUGGUCACUAAUAGAAGAUCAGAUCCCGGGAAGAUCAAUAGGAGUUUGAGCAUUAGUCAACCUAACAAAUCCCUUAAGGACAAGGAAUUUGACAAGGAAGUGGCAAAAGUCAGACAGGACGAGAGCAGAGUCAAAACACCUGGGGGAGUUAUUGAGGUGACUGAAAGACCAGAUGCUGAAAGAAGGAGGUGGUUUAAGAAAACGGAUUGGGACCAAAGAUUGCGGGACGCACAGGAGAUGGGUACUCUGGUCUUGCUUAGUAAUCUGGAUCCAUCCUUUGCCUCCAUUGACGUAGAGAACAUAGUUUGGUCUGCUCUCCGAAUGAAGGUUGACGCAAGGAUAAUAGAACAGAGUGUGAAAUCCAAUGAUUACUAUGGUAGAGCACUGGUUAUUUUCAAGACAAAAGAUAAAGCUGAGUAUGCAAUGUCUGAGUUUAAUAGGAGAUGCCUUGUUCUUGGGGAUGGAAGGCAAUUCAUUCAUUGUUCUAUUUGUCUUGAUUGUAAUAAUGAUAAUAUCAUCUUAUUCUUCCUAAAGCAUACCCCUAAAACUCUGUCACUUGCAGGGUUGUCAAUGCCCGAAACGGAACUCUAACAGAACCCAACAAGCAACGCAAAUUCCAUGGUCAUUUGACCAUUGACAGAAUCCCACCUGAAAGGCUGCGCCCAGAAAUGGUACCAUAAAAUUCAAUUUGCCGAUUGAUUUAUCUUUUUCCUUUUUUCUAUCCAUAUUUAUGUUCUUUGCUUUUUAUAGAGAAAUGCAGUAUCAACAUCACAUUGUGCUCAAGCCAAUACAAUUGAAUAUGAGAUGGCUAGUGAUUGGCUCUUGCAAUACAAGAAAUAUGAUGUCACAUGGGAAGCAUUGUCUAAGAAACAAAGGAAAGAGAUAGAAGAUGUGAAGAACAAACUUAAACUGGACAGAAUUUUUGGUGAAACCUCCUAGCUAUUAACCAACUAACAAAUUUGAGUUUGACAGAACCAUGUUGUACUAAUCAUGUUUCUGCAGUACAAGAAAUUCUUCUUAGCAUACAGUGUUCACCAUUUUUUGUAGGGUCUAACCGAUUUGAUAUCAGCUAUAUGUUUUUGGGAU